rnacentral:rRNA from 1 species
GACGAACCGAGCGAACGUUAUUCGGAAUCACUGGGCUUAAAGGGCGCGUAGGCGGGCCAUCAAGUCAGGGGUGAAAGCCCCCAGCUCAACUGGGGAAGUGCCUUUGAUACUGGUGGUCUCGAGGGGGAUAGGGGCAUGCGGAACUUCCGGUGGAGCCGUGAAAUGCGUAGAUAUCGGAAGGAACACCGGUGGCGAAAGCGGCGUGCUGGAUCCCUUCUGACGCUGAGGCGCGAAAGCCAGGGGAGCGAACGGG